GCACUAAGUUUGGCAUCAAUAUGGUGACCUCCCGGGAGCAAGGGACCACCAGGUUGCCUAAGGAGGGGUGAACCAGCCCAGGUCGGAAACGGAGCAGAUCAAAACUCCGGUGCUGAUCAGUGGUGGGAUCGCGUCUGUGAAUAGCCACUGCACUCCAGCCUGGGCAACAUAGCGAGACCCCGUCUCUA